rnacentral:rRNA from 1 species
CGAGUUCUGAUUAUUGAAAGGUGCUUGCAUCUUGAUUUAAUUUUGAACGAGUGGCGGACGGGUGAGUAACACGUGGGUAACCUGCCCUUAAGUGGGGGAUAACAUUUGGAAACAGAUGCUAAUACCGCAUAAAUCCAAGAACCGCAUGGUUCUUGGCUGAAAGAUGGCGUAAGCUAUCGCUUUUGGAUGGACCCGCGGCGUAUUAGCUAGUUGGUGAGGUAACGGCUCACCAAGGCAAUGAUACGUAGCCGAACUGAGAGGUUGAUCGGCCACAUUGGGACUGAGACACGGCCCAAACUCCUACGGGAGGCAGCAGUAGGGAAUCUUCCACAAUGGACGCAAGUCUGAUGGAGCAACGCCGCGUGAGUGAAGAAGGCUUUCGGGUCGUAAAACUCUGUUGUUGGAGAAGAAUGGUCGGCAGAGUAACUGUUGUCGGCGUGACGGUAUCCAACCAGAAAGCCACGGCUAACUACGUGCCAGCAGCCGCGGUAAUACGUAGGUGGCAAGCGUUAUCCGGAUUUAUUGGGCGUAAAGCGAGCGCAGGCGGUUUUUUAAGUCUGAUGUGAAAGCCCUCGGCUUAACCGAGGAAGUGCAUCGGAAACUGGGAAACUUGAGUGCAGAAGAGGACAGUGGAACUCCAUGUGUAGCGGUGAAAUGCGUAGAUAUAUGGAAGAACACCAGUGGCGAAGGCGGCUGUCUGGUCUGUAACUGACGCUGAGGCUCGAAAGCAUGGGUAGCGAACAGGAUUAGAUACCCUGGUAGUCCAUGCCGUAAACGAUGAAUGCUAGGUGUUGGAGGGUUUCCGCCCUUCAGUGCCGCAGCUAACGCAUUAAGCAUUCCGCCUGGGGAGUACGACCGCAAGGUUGAAACUCAAAGGAAUUGACGGGGGCCCGCACAAGCGGUGGAGCAUGUGGUUUAAUUCGAAGCAACGCGAAGAACCUUACCAGGUCUUGACAUCUUUUGAUCACCUGAGAGAUCAGGUUUCCCCUUCGGGGGCAAAAUGACAGGUGGUGCAUGGUUGUCGUCAGCUCGUGUCGUGAGAUGUUGGGUUAAGUCCCGCAACGAGCGCAACCCUUAUGACUAGUUGCCAGCAUUUAGUUGGGCACUCUAGUAAGACUGCCGGUGACAAACCGGAGGAAGGUGGGGAUGACGUCAAAUCAUCAUGCCCCUUAUGACCUGGGCUACACACGUGCUACAAUGGAUGGUACAACGAGUUGCGAGACCGCGAGGUCAAGCUAAUCUCUUAAAGCCAUUCUCAGUUCGGACUGUAGGCUGCAACUCGCCUACACGAAGUCGGAAUCGCUAGUAAUCGCGGAUCAGCACGCCGCGGUGAAUACGUUCCCGGGCCUUGUACACACCGCCCGUCACACCAUGAGAGUUUGUAACACCCGAAGCCGGUGGCGUAACCCUUUU